rnacentral:rRNA from 1 species
GGUCCGCCCGGGAAUUACGAGCACGAGCUUAAAACCCAAAGGACUUGGCGGUGCUUAAGACCCAUCUAGAGGAGCCUGUCCUAGAACCGAUAACCCCCGUUAAACCUCACCCUCCCUUGUUCUUACCGCCUAUAUACCGCCGUCGUCAGUUUACCCUGUGAAGGACUAAUAGUAAGCAUAAUUGGCAAAGCCCAAAACGUCAGGUCGAGGUGUAGUGUAUGAGAGGGGAAGAGAUUGGCUACAUUCUCUGCAACCAGAGCACACGGAAGCUGUACUGAAAGAUACAGUUGAAGGUGGAUUUAGAAGUAAGCAGGGAGUAGAGAGCCCCGCUGAAGAUGGCCCUGAAGCGCGUACACACCGCCCGU